CCAAAAAGGUGGAACACCUAAUGUACAGCCCCAAGGAAGGAGCAUACUUGGAGAAUUCAAGGAACAGAAAGAAAAACAGGAAGGCUGGAGUGAAACUGAUUAAAUAAAGCAUCGUAACAUUAGAGGGUCCAUCAUAGAGGCCAAGCCAAAUACAACUAUGUUUUCAAGCAUAAGAUGGAUAGAUGUGGUAAACCACAAGAAGCAAACAGCCCUUUAGAGGUGUGGAUUGACCUUGCAGAGUUACAAGUGGAGCCAGGAGAAAUCAUGUUGAGUGGGACUUCUCAUCCUACCUAAGAGAGACUAACAGAUGGAAAGCUGGGUACAGAAGGGAGAGAAGGCAGUAACAGUCAGAUUUCAAUACGCUGAGACUGUGACGUGGGACUUUUGAGUGAGUAACAUCUGCUCCUAGAACUGAGUUGAGUGGGGAUCCUCCCACACCACCCAGGCAAGAGAACUAACAAUUGAUGACUGCUCCAAAUCAGUCGCCAGUCUACCUAAUACUUCUACCUGGUAGGUAGCCUGAUACCCACUAACAUCAGGUAGGUUCUAUAUGAUUAAUAGUUCAUAAGAUAAAUAUUAAUCAUUAGCAAUUUUCAAAGCUGAGGUACAGCUACUUCAAAAAUGAAGAAGGAAUGCAGAUGAAGAGUCUCCAGACUCUUCAAGAGACUCUCUGCAAGCAAAGUCUCCAGAGUUCUGAGGGAAAGAAGCAAACAAAGAAUCACAGCCAUUCUUUGAGGGAGCAACCUACUCAUUAAAGAAAUGCAAUCAUGAUUAUGCUGAUCAAAUGAAAAUCUCAAAAAUAGAGAGGCCAUGGGAAAAGGGCUAGUUAUGAGCACUGAAUUCAUUUACAUAUAAAACAAGGCAAAAUAAUUGUCAUAAUACUUUGUAAUGGUUAUAAACACCAAAUAAAUGUUAUAUAGAGGUGAAUCGCAUAAAAAUAGUAAUAUAGCAGUUUUCCCAGUUUUUCUUAAUAUUUAAUAAAUACUGCCUACACUUGGUGCAUGAAGUUAAAGAGUAUAAUGACACCAAUCUUUUAAUAUUCUUUUAUACCUUAUUUUUUAAA
rnacentral:lncRNA from 10 species